CGGGGUGUGGCGCAGUUGGUAGCGCGCAUGGUUUGGGACCAUGAGGUCGGAGGUUCGAGUCCUCUCACCCCGACCA
rnacentral:tRNA from 1 species